rnacentral:rRNA from 1 species
UGAGCAAUCUGCCCUUCUCAUCGGAAUAAGCGUUGGAAACGACGUCUAAUGCCGAAUACGACCUCCUUUCGCAUGAUCGGAGGUGGAAAGCUCCGGCGGAGAAGGAUGAGCUCGCGGCCUAUCAGCUAGUUGGUGUGGGUAAUGGCCCACCAAGGCGACGACGGGUAGCCGGCCUGAGAGGGUGACUGGCCACACGUGGGACUGAGACACGGCCCAGACUCCGUAGGAGG